rnacentral:rRNA from 1 species
AUUGAACGCUGGCGGCAGGCUUAACACAUGCAAGUCGAGCGGAGAUGAGGUGCUUGCACCUUAUCUUAGCGGCGGACGGGUGAGUAAUGCUUAGGAAUCUGCCUAUUAGUGGGGGACAACAUUCCGAAAGGAAUGCUAAUACCGCAUACGCCCUACGGGGGGAAGCAGGGGAUCUUCGGACCGUGCGCUAAUAGAUGAGCCUAAGUCGGAUGAGCUAGUUGGUGGGGUAAAGGCCUACCAAGGCGACGAUCUGUAGCGGGUCUGAGAGGGUGAUCCCCCACACUGGGACUGAGACACGGCCCAGACUCCUACGGGAGGCAGCAGUGGGGAAUAUUGGACAAUGGGCGGAAGCCUGAUCCAGCCAUGCCGCGUGUGUGAAGAAGGCCUUUUGGUUGUAAAGCACUUUAAGCGAGGAGGAGGCUACCUGGAUUAAUACUCUAGGAUAGUGGACGUUGCUCGCAGAAUAAGCACCGGCUAACUCUGUGCCAGCAGCCGCCGUAAUAC